AAACACACACUCUGCAUUAUAUACACACUCUGCAUUAUAUACACAUAGUGUGUGUAUAUAAUGCAGAGUGUGUGUUU